rnacentral:rRNA from 1 species
GAUGAACGCUGGCGGCGUGCUUAACACAUGCAAGUCGAACGAAGCACUUAAGAUUGAUUCUUCGGAUGACGUCUUUUGUGACUUAGUGGCGGACGGGUGAGUAACGCGUGGGUAACCUGCCUCACACAGGGGGAUAACAGUUAGAAAUGACUGCUAAUACCGCAUAACCCGAUAGGAUCGCAUGAUCCAGACGGAAAAGAUUUAUCGGUGUGAGAUGGACCCGAGUCUGAUUAGCUAGUUGGUGAGGUAACGGCCCACCAAGGCGACGAUCAGUAGCCGGCCUGAGAGGGUGAACGGCCACAUUGGGACUGAGACACGGCCCAAACUCCUACGGGAGGCAGCAGUGGGGAAUAUUGCACAAUGGGGGAAACCCUGAUGCAGCGACGCCGCGUGAGUGAAGAAGUAUUUCGGUAUGUAAAGCUCUAUCAGCAGGGAAGAAAAUGACGGUACCUGACGAAGAAGCCCCGGCUAACUACGUG